rnacentral:sRNA from 1 species
CCCUAGCCCUGAUGGAAGCGAAAAGCCUUUUGAAAUAAAAUGCCAUUUUUCUUGGACAAAAAGAGCGACCAGCGGAAGCUCCUUUUUGUCUUUAGAAAAAUGGCAGUUUUAUGAAAAAGCUUGCAGCGUACAGCAGGAUUAAGC